UCUGAAGGUGAGUGGUGAGCCCUCUUGGGU
rnacentral:piRNA from 1 species